ACACAUUCAUACGAUGGAGGAAGCCCAGUAUUGCCACCCACCUUCUCCACAGUGUUCAGGGCAGCAGCGAGGCUGACGUUGUUCUUGCCGUCUCGUGAUGGCCUCUCAUUGGCUGUUACAUACUGUAGACCAUAUUUGAGCCUGAGGGCGGAGCUCCACAGCGAGCCCUUCUGCUCCAUCAGUCCCAGCAUCCUGGCGCCGACCACACCGGGUAACAGCAGCUCCGCCUCCACAGAGUACUGCCUGCUGUUGCCAUCCCGCCUGC